UAUUGCGUAGUUAUAAUUGCUUCUUGUUAUAAUCUCUUUAUUUUCAAUAUAACUUUUUUCCGCAUUCUUUGCUUUUAUUUACACUUAUUUUUUAUUUUCUUUUGGCUUAUUUGGAUGCAUAUCUUGUUUUUUUAUACUUCUGUAGAAGGUUUUUAGGAAGAGAGCUAUUUUAUCUUUGCACGUUUAUAAUUAUCCUCUUAAAUGCUCGGGACAAUUUCGAAGAAAUUUUGGGAGUGGAUCAGAAGCCCCAAAUUGUUUAGAUUCACGAGUCUGGUAGGUGGCAUUGCAGCUGAGUAGUAUAAUUUUUUUAACGCAGCUUCCUAGUUUAAUGUUUCUUGAAACUGUGAGUUAGAGUCUACAUUCACUCACUCAUUCUCAAGAAACAGGACCAGAGUUUUUCACCAAGAAUAAUCCUUUGAAUUUCAGGAAAUAUUCAAGCAGGUAAAUUAUACCCUUUAUUACUCCAAGAUUUUCACAUGAGCAUGAAAUUUUCAAUUCAAGUACGAUUAAAACCUAAAGAUUACAUUUCGAGUACUGCAUUGAUAAAGAAAAUAAUGAGAAUUUAUCGUUUUCGUUUUUAAUUCGAUUCAUAUUCGAAGCAGAAUCACGAUAUAGAAGAUAACAUUAAAUUUAUCCCCUGAUUAUUGUGAAUAAUCUUAACCUUCACUAAUAAUCAAUAAUUAUCUUAUCUCAAUUCAAUUAUUGUCGAUCUAAUAUUUGGAACAAAUGCUCUUUGAUCAAUUUUUCAUACAUUAGCUGCUGUGUAUAGGUGAGUAUCCACAAUUUAUAUUUCACUAAUUUUUGAUGAUUUUUCAGGAUAAUAUCCGUACCUACAUAAAAAUAUCCAUCAUGAUGAAUACAAAAUUGUCUUGAGAAACCUAAAACAAGGAAUCCAGUAACAAUCUGCAAGGGUGAUGUAGAAAUUACUAAAGAACGAUAAUUUCAGAAGAUGUAAUAGAUAUUGUGGAGGAAAAUCGAGAACAGGACUCCUUUCAACGUUUUCUAUCUAUCUAGUCUAGAAGUACCGAAACAGCCAACAUCAAGCAAUUUGGAACACCCUGUACAGAAGGUAUUGUAUGGUUGCCCUAAGUCUAAAAACCUGACUGGGAGCAAAUUUUUUGGCCAACUCGUCUACCUUGCAGCUGAACAUGUUGACAUGUGAGCUGUCAAUAUAAUAGGUACUCCACCUCAACCUGCAGAAACUUUGGUAUUAAGCAUUCUGUAGUAAUGAAGAAUUUAAAUACAAUAAUUUUUUUUUU